UACCAGACUCCUACGGGAGGCAGCAGUGGGGGAUAUUGCACAAUGGGGGAAACCCUGAUGCAGCGACGCCGCGUGAGUGAAGAAGUAAUUCGUUACGUAAAGCUCUAUCAGCAGGGAAGAAAAUGACGGUACCUGACUAAGAAGCCCCGGCUAACUACGUGCCAGCAGCCGCGGUAAUACGUAGGGGGCAAGCGUUAUCCGGAAUUACUGGGUGUAAAGGGAGCGCAGACGGCAGUGCAAGUCUGGAGUGAAAGCCCGUGGCUUAACCACGGGACUGCUCUGGAAACUGCGUCGCUGGAGUACGGGAGGGGCAGGCGGAAUUCCUGGUGUAGCGGUGAAAUGCGUAGAUAUCAGGAGGAACACCGGCGGCGAAGGCGGCCUGCUGGACCGCGACUGACGUUGAGGCUCGAACGCGUGGGGAGCAAACAGGAUUAGAUACCCCGGUAA
rnacentral:rRNA from 1 species